UACGUAGGGUGCAAGCGUUGUCCGGAAUUAUUGGGCGUAAAGAGCUCGUAGGCGGUUUGUCGCGUCUGCUGUGAAAACUCAGGGCUUAACCCUGAGCCUGCAGUGGGUACGGGCAGACUAGAGUGAUGUAGGGGAGACUGGAAUUCCUGGUGUAGCGGUGAAAUGCGCAGAUAUCAGGAGGAACACCGAUGGCGAAGGCAGGUCUCUGGGCAUUAACUGACGCUGAGGAGCGAAAGCAUGGGGAGCGAACAGG
rnacentral:rRNA from 1 species